CAGUAGCCGCGGUAACACCGAGGGUGCAAGCGUUAAUCGGAAUUACUGGGCGUAAAGCGCGCGUAGGUGGUUUGUUAAGUUGGAUGUGAAAUCCCCGGGCUCAACCUGGGAACUGCAUCCAAAACUGGCAAGCUAGAGUAUGGUAGAGGGUGGUGGAAUUUCCUGUGUAGCGGUGAAAUGCGUAGAUAUAGGAAGGAACACCAGUGGCGAAGGCGACCACCUGGACUGAUACUGACACUGAGGUGCGAAAGCGUGGGGAGCAAACAGGAUUAGAUACCCGAGUAGUCCCUGUCUCUUAUAC
rnacentral:rRNA from 1 species